GACUUACAAAAUGCUGUUGCUUAUGAUGAAGAGAUGUGGUACCAUGAAUCUCUAUAAAAAAUGUUACCGACCACUUAGGUGCUGAAUUACAGAGGAUUAAGAAGAUGGCAUCAAUCUGACUGGUUUAGGAAGACUAGCAAAGGGCUAGGCUAAAACUUCUUCCUGUAGAACAACUGAAGAAGAAGAAAAAAAGGAGAAACCUCCUGCAUAGGCUCGAGUUAGAAAUAACAAGGAAGGAAACAUGGAAAUGAUGUUAUGUUAAUGAUGGUAUCAUUAGCGUCGAAUUUGAAAAUUUUAACAGUGAACUCCAGGAUUAUGUCAAUGAUCAGGAAGUGGCCUUUAUUUGUUAUUAGGAUACGCUAUCUAGGCAUCAGUCGAGGAAGACAUUACAAGUAGAGCUACGAUUCGUGCGAGGGUUUACAGAAAAAAAGAUGAGGGAAAGAAACGAAGAGGAGUAAGAGGAAGUAAAAAGAAUACAUACUACACAAAAUACAUGAUCACACAGAUGAUGUAGCCCUCCUGAGAUAGCCCAUCCUUCAGCUUGGGCUAUACGGUUUUAAUGCCUAUGGCGAAGGAUACUUUAUGGUAGACGAAGCUGAAAAGAUUCUGUCAAGCUCCCAUCGAUUUUCUCAAGUUUCACUUUGAAAGAAAAGUGAGGUUGAAGAGUGAAGUGCUCUGCACCAACAAAUUUAUCAAGAGGUAGGUAAUUAUGACAACAACGUUUAAGAUGAAUGAAAUUAAUAUAAGCAUACGCCUGUAAAUUAGGGAACAACAGAUUGGUGAUGGCUUGAAGACUUGGUGAUCCGGGUAAUCUAGGUUCUGGUUCCUUGAUUAACCCAAGUUGGAGGCUUGACAGCUUCAGGAGGACUGCAUCAUCUCAGAUGUCUUCCCCUUUGAUAUGGCUAUUAAUUCAGUGGUUCAAACCACUAAGGUUUUCCUCUACCGGUACCGAUUUCUUCGGGUUAAUGUGUCCAGUUGUUACCGCCUUAAAUACUUUCAGUCUGACUGUAGCCAUCUCAAUUUCCUUUAGAUCCAACAUUAUCACACUGUGUGCCUCCAUAUGCUUUGGCGACUUUUACGUGACCCAGUUGGAAGAUACUACUUCUCAGCAUCUCUACAUCUUGGCAAUAGUUAAAGAACUAAAACAAUAGAAUUAGUAUGUGAUGAUACCUUUGAUGUCCCGUGUGUAUUAUUCAAAGUGGUUCUGAAUAAAGCUUGUCAAGUCUGGCCAUUAAACUCCAUAUUAAAGUCAUGUACAUUUUGAAAGUGAAACCAAAAACAGUGGUACUAAAAAUAUCUAUUAAGUAACAAUAGUCGGCCCUCUGAAAGCUUUAGAGUGAUCUACAUUUAUUAGAAUACAAUCGAGUCUAGUUCUCUUAGUAUCCAUCGUCUGUAGAAUAUCUGCAUGAUGUGGAAUUAAUUGUCUCUAUAUAUUUUGGGAAUCACACAGGUCCACGCCCAUCUAUCCACACUACCUACAAGUAAAUACUUUUCCUCGGUAUCUUGGUUAAAAUCAUUCAGCAGAGACAUGGGUGGGAACUUAUCAAAUAAUGUGAUCCUUGUUAAUGUACUUCGUUAGCAGUGCCAUCGCUACUUGACUUCUUUAGCUGGGAAUAGUCUUAGCCUGUUGCUAAUGGUAAUACACAACUAUCAAGUCCGUAGCGAGCAAGUCUAACAUAUAUUUGCAAAGUUCAAAACUGCCACUAGUCUGAAAAGCCUCCACCUAUCCAGAUUUAAAAACUGUUCUCUAUCUUGAGAUCUUUGUCUUUUCAACAGUGGUUGUGGUUGCUGUUUUGGUUACUGCAGCUGCAGUUAUUGUUAGUGUCGUCAACAGUAGUAUGUAUCAUUGUUCAUGUGACGUCUGUUGUGGAUAAAUGGCACGUUUGUGGUUGGUGCAACAAUAUUUGUAUCAUUUGAGUCAUCUGCUUAGAAACAUAACGUGCAGCUGUAUGUGUAGAUGCAAUACUUGGCAAAAGUUUUUUGAGAAAGACUAGUUGAAGCUUGCAAGUUUCCCCUCUUCACGAUACCAAUGUUUAUCGAAGGAACAGGCUGGUGACUAGGCUCGAUACAAUAUGGCAGUAGUAUCGUCGGAGACAGUGCAGUCGUCGUAGACCUCGGAACCAUAGACAUCUUGCCCGACUCUUCAACGGUUCAACUGAUUUGCCCUUUUGGAUUGAUAUUUUUAUUAUACCUGCGUAAUGAAAUACCACCGGAAAAGAGGUGAUGUAAACAUACAUCAUAGAAAUGGUUCCAGAGAAUAACAAAACGAAUAUAGUAGGGGAUAUGGUAAACAAUACAGAUAAAGAUAUCAACGCAAUUCCAUAUGAUGUUGUCAAUGGCCAUUAAGAAACGGAGUGCCUCCUGAGCGAAAUAACAGUCCCAAAAGUCGAUAAUGAAUCUUUAAAAGAAUUGAAAAAAUUAGCCAAAUAUAUAUAUCUUGGGAAUGAUUUUAAAAUAUGCAGAUAACAACAUACCAAAUCCCACAGCAGCUACAGAUAUAAAUAACAGUGAAAAGAAUUCCACUUGACUCUGCAUACAUAUUAGGAAGAAUGUCUAUACGACAGGAAAACAUGGGGCCGUGCUUAUCGCGCAGUUAUAGCACGUUAUAAAAUGACUACAGAAAAAUAUAACGACAGUAGCAAAUCAGUUUUAACUACUAAAUCUAAAUCUAAAGGUGUAGCAAAAACAGACAUAUAGUACUCUUUAUUGAAGAAAGGAAAACUUGGGGAACAUUCACAUCUACGUGAACAAUAUUCGGUGAACACAUUGCGUGACGUUAAAAAGAAACACUAACCCCAGACUGAAUGAUGCAACAGAAACUUCAACACACGCCAUAUUAACAUCAACUGUCCUUCAAUGUAGAUAACACAUGUCUUAUGGUGAAUCUUUCUGUGUCAAUACCUUACGUUGUAAUAUGCUUCCCUACACUAAUGCAAGUAUACUGGUAUAUGUUUUGUUUCGGUGCUUUAUGUUCUAAGAUCAAUUCCUGUGGAGGUUAAGUUUGUCUUUCAUCCUUCGGGGUUCGAUAAAAUGAAAUACCAGUCCAGUACUGGGGUCGAUGCUAUGAACUAUCAACAUUCCCUCAGCAUUUCUGUUCUUAUGUCUGAAUUCGAAACUUUCAGGGUAGAAGAUAGGCAGAAUCUUUACAGAAUCGGACAAACUGCGUUGCUGCAGUAUUCUGGCUCUUUCCAUUCUCAGUUGAGUUUUCAUUGCUGCAGUUAACACAAAUACAGAAAGAAAAAAAUUAAAUACAAUGGCAAAGUGAAACAUUAUAGGACGCAUAGAUAUGAGUGCUUGCCGGGUUUUCUAAAAUAUUAUCUAGUUUAUCAGCACCGUGUGCGUUGAAUCUACUACACAGGAAUUAAGGAAGAACCUCAUUCAAUUUCUACUGUUAAGUUUGUCGAAGUUAAUUCAAGAAACCUGUCGCAAGGUCAACUUGUAGAAUCAUGACUUGACCCAGCGCUAAAUACAUACAUUCACAUGUCUUUGAGUAUAAUGUUUCUUGCGUUAUUUUACUCGGUACACAUACAGAUUUCUGUUAUAGCUAUGAAUUUCUCAACAUCGUCAUCUAAUCAUUUAGAGUUCUGUGCGUACGCCAUUGAUCAGAACGACCUGAAUGUACUGUAUACAUCAAAUAUACUUGUAAAAUCACUAUCUGUCGGUUUGACUACCUUUUUCUUUCUCACGUUUCCUCUUCUUCAUGACUUCUUUCCCCGCCAUUAUAAGUUAUUUUAAGAAGGUAUUUGCCAUAUCCGUUUUGUAUGGAAUAAUCU